UGUUAUUUUUUUCUCAACAAAUAAAUACGUCCACGGUGUGUUUUUUCUCCAGUUAUCUAUAUAUUCGCCGAAGUAUCCCGAAAAUAUCUUGAAAACAGCGGAGGCCAAUGCAUGAUCAACAAUGAGCUGCGCUGAUGCUGAAACUCAACUUCAAGAGUGGGUCCUCUUCCAGGGAGCCCGCCAUGUUUCUACAGUAGCCCAGAACGAACAAACUAACCACUGGCUCCAGAGAGGAGCCCUUUGCCGUUGUCUAAAGGAGACGGUUUUUCUCUGACAGGCUUGAAGAGGGACAGGUGAGCGGAGGGAUACUCAGUUACUUGCAAGCUGCAACUUCACCAUUAGAUGUCAGUAAGUCCUAUACAUUAAACCUUAAAUAGGAGAGAGAGGGAGAGAUUUUUUUUCUGUUAAUAUUGAUCCAUCGUCCAAUACAUGUGCUACUCACUCUUCAGGUUCAUCGUUCUGGUUGGCCUCAUUCCACUCUUCCCAGCCUAAACACACAGGAAAUACAUUAUUAUAAGUUCCAGUAUAGUUGAGCAAUUAGCAGGAUCACCAAUAAAUCAACAAAACAUUGUUAAAUCAAACUUACCUUCGACUGUUUUCCACCACGCUAAGAGACCUUCCUCAUCCUGAAAGUGGACAAUUUGAAACUCAAAACUAUUCUGUAUGUACACAGAAAUUAAUAUUUAAAAAAAAUAGAGAUAAAAAAGACGCUUACGUCUAGAGGGUCCAGUUCGGUUCCUUCACUGGGUACUGGUACUUCAGCCAUCUGUAGCGUCUGAACUUCCACCACUUCCUACAACAGAAAAAUAAGUAAACUGAAUAAAUCUUGUCCAAAACUGUUGGAUGGUGCCAAUUAUACACAGUCAAUAAAUCCUAUUAUGCUGCCAUACACUGAAACCUUUCACCCUGCUGUGUCCUUUAUUCUCAUUUCAACCAGAGAUGCAAAUUGGUUCUAAUUUGUAUGCCAACACAAAAAUUACAUCUUUAUUGUCAAAUAGAAAAUUCUUACUUUAAAUCUUUU